GUGAGGAAUAUUGCGCAAUGGAGGCAACUCUGACGCAGCCAUGCCGCGUGCAGGAAGAAGGCGCUACGCGUUGUAAACUGCUUUUAACCGGGAAGAAACCCCAGGACGUGUCCUGGGUUGACGGUACCGGAGGAAUAAGCACCGGCUAACUUCGUGCCAGCAGCCGCGGUAAUACGAAGGGUGCAAGCGUUAUCCGGAUUCAUUGGGUUUAAAGGGUGCGUAGGCGGAGCGUUAAGUCAGUGGUGAAAUCCUGCAGCUUAACUGUAGACUUGCCAUUGAUACUGUCGCUCUUGAGUGCGCUUGAAGUGGGCGGAAUGUGCCGUGUAGCGGUGAAAUGCUUAGAUAUGGCACAGAACACCAAUUGCGAAGGCAGCUCACUAAGGCGAUACUGACGCUGAGGCACGAAAGCGUGGGGAUCGAACAGGAUUAGAAACCCCGGUAGUCC
rnacentral:rRNA from 1 species